ACAACAUCAUCAAACCCCUCGAAAGAGAAAAAAAAAAAAAAACAGUCACUCAUUUUGAUUCUCUUGUUCACUCAUUGUUACUCUGAAUCACCAAAGAUCGAAACUUUAACGCUAUAAACGAUGAUGGGUAGUAGUAACAGAGAAAGAGAUGAAACCCUUACAUUCACAAUCCCUUCAUCUUCUUCUCAUUCUUCACCAAUCACUGGUUCAGACCAACUUGAUAGUUACCUCACCGACCCAAGAAGCGCUUCUGGAAGUUUCCAGAACGAGGGUCUUCUUUCCUCAGGUGAAUCUGCUGAUGUUGAGUUUGGAUUUUCUCGACCUGAUUUUAGACAGAGUUUGCUUGUUGGUACUGUUGAACUGUACGAACGCCACGUGUUUCUUUGUUAUAAGAAUCCAAGGUUUUGGCCACCAAGAAUUGAGGCUGCUGAGUUUGAUCGAUUGCCUAGGUUGCUCUAUGCUGCUGUUAAAGCAAGGAAGAAUCAUAUGAAGAAGGAGACCCGGCUAACGAUAUGUGAGGGUCAUGAUGGGACUGAAACAUCUAAUGGGGAUGUGUUAAUUUUUCCGGACAUGAUCAGAUACAGGAGAUUGACACAUUUUGAUGUUGAAACUUUUGUUGAAGAAGUUCUUGUGAAGGAUGGAGAAUGGCUACCUGGAACACCUGAAACCUUGAAAGGUUCGUAUGUUUUUGUGUGUUCACACGGAUCGCGUGAUCGCAGAUGUGGGGUUUGUGGACCUGUUUUGGUUAGUAGGUUCAGGGAAGAGAUAGAGUUUCAUGGUCUUCAAGGUAAAGUGUUUGUUAGUCCGUGCUCGCACAUUGGGGGACAUAAGUAUGCAGGAAAUGUCAUUAUAUUUGGAUCAAACAUUAACGGAGAAGUCACUGGCCAUUGGUAUGGAUAUGUUGCCCCGGAGGAUGUUCCUCUAUUGCUUCAACAACAUAUCAUGAAAGGGGAGAUUAUAGACUCAUUAUGGAGGGGUCAAAUGGGUCUAUCAGAAGAUGAACAAAUAAAUAAGCAAGAACAAAGGCUUCUACUGAACGGCAUCGAAAAAUUCGAAGAAAGCUCUGCACCAAAUGGAUCUCAAGACGAUUUGGUGAGCUGCUGCCAAUCAAAUGGAGUGAGUUGCUGCCAAGAAAAUAAUGGAAACUCUUCCUUUUGUCAGAGUAAUGUGUCAGUGGAAAAUGGAACAAGCUCCGAUGUCAUCGAGACUGAGGCAAAACAUUCAGCUGAUAAUAAGAGAAGCGAAGCGGUGAUUUCUCGGACCAACAGCGGGAAAGGAGCUUCGCGCAAAUUUCAUUCCAUGACAACAUGGCUUGACAGCUGGGAGCACGAAGAUACUUAUGCUGCUCUUGCUGUUGUCUGUGCUGCAGUAUCGGUCACCAUUGCGUAUAACUGCUUCAAACAAUUGACAUAGGAGGGAUCAACAUUGUCAAUGCAUUAUUUAGAUCAAUCCUUAAUGGACAUGCAGGGAAAGAGUGGGAUCUCAAUGAUGAAUGUGAAUUUGUGUGCUUUACUGAUUGUGGAAUAUUAUUGGCUAAGGCAUUUAUUUAUAAAUUCGCCAGUUAGCUUAUAAUCUGUACAUAUAAGAAACCUUAGCCACAGAAUAUGAAGUAUUAUCAGUUUGUUUAGGUAAAUUUGAUUUGUAACCUUUUUUCAAUUUAAUGUAAAGCUUUGGUGUUCCUCAAACUUGCUAGUUAAUCCAAGAUUUGAGGCACACAGAAUAUUCAAAGUGUCCCUUGCAAUGUUUUUGUUUUAUGUGGUAAAAGACUCGAGCACCUUUAGCAA